AAUUAUUUUUAGUAUGUAAAUAUAUGGUAUUCACUUACAUGAUAUUUUUUGAAAAGUUAACGAAGGAGUGAUUUCUAUAGACGAGAAUCAUUCCUAAACUUCCUAAAUUUCAAUUCUCUAGCUAACAAUGUUCUUUCUCUGUUCGUUAGGUAAUUUGAUAAAGUAAACAACCGAUCCUAAAACUGGAGUAAGAGAUUUUUAAAGCUGACACCAGUCCGUAAUGAAGCUUCGAGUAGAUAAGUAGAUCCCUGGACUAAUCAGUCCGAAAAUCAGAAAAAUAAUAUUCUUUGGGACAAUGACAAAGUGUACAAACACGACUACAUUACAUGAUAUAAGAUAUAAAUAGUGAAGAGCAAUUUCAAAAAGACUAGUAUAAAUCCAGAAAAGAACGGUAACAAUAAUAGUAAUACCACCGAAUAUGAAAACAGGAAAAAUCUCAUAGAUGAUGAUAAGGAUGAAAAUCCUGCAAAGCUUAUCACAGAUAUCGUAGAAAAUUAUAAGGGAUAAUAUUUUGUAAUGAAAUAUGCUCUUCAAUAUCUACAAAUUCAUAUAAAUUAAAUAUCAUUACAAUAUAUUGGUUAGUUCCACGGUCACGAUAUAUUAUAUUACGUAAGUCGAUGGACCACGAUUGCGCAAAAAAUUACCAUCUAUUUGCUGACAGUUAACAUCCGAGAGGGUGCCGAACAAACAGAGUUUUUACAUUCUAUGCAUCUUUAUUGCUUUCACAGACGAAAAGGUAGAAGAUGAAAUUAAUUAAGACUUCUCUAACGAUCUCUUUUAAUUUGACAUAUUAUGAUUUCUGUUUUACUACCAUAUCCAUAUUCCAUAACAGAAUAUUGUUACAAAUGCUUCUGCUUUAUUUUUAUUGAUCUCACCCUACCAAAUAUUCACAUUCCAUGAAACGAAAUUAAUUCUCUUAUUAAUAUUCUCUCAUAACAAAAAUAUCUUGCGGGCGUUAAUAUACAUAUUUUUAAUUCCUAUGUGACAAAAUCAGCCAAAGAUGUUGUUCAUGUAAACAAUAUCUUCUUUGGUCAUAAUACAAAUAAUAUGGUGUGCAAAGUGACCAGAACGAGGUGUACCUGCUUUUUUAUUAUGAUCCUAAUAUAUAGUACCUUACAGGAACAAAUACAUUUAUAAGAGAAUAUUUUCAAAGAAUCCUACGUCAAAAACAUAUUCAUCAUCUAUUAUGGAAUGUCAAGAAAUUGACGUUCGAAGUUGUUCUCCAGUGUUAUCAUCUAAAAAGAUUGUGCUUUAAUAUUUUUAGAUCCUUGUUACAGUUUUUAGGCAAUGACAUGCCGCUUUAUAUUAUAACUCGAAUUUAAAAAAAGGAAGAACAGAAAAAUACAUAUCCAUAUAUCUUAUGUGCGGACACUGAAUUAUAUAAUAACGAUCGGCGGCAUUUUACUAUCAACGAUUAUCGACGGUUUCCUAAACAUAUUUGCUAUUUCUUAGCUGUAGUAAUAAUCAACGUGCUGGGUUCGAAAGGAAGGCAUUUCCUUUACAAACGUGAUCCGCAUAAUUAUGUUCCAUAGCGUCUUCGUUACGUGGUUGCAAUUAACAAGGAAGAAGAGGAAGAAGAGGACAAACAUUUAUAAUGGUGUUGACGACGAUCCUCAAAGUAUUGCCUCAAGGUAAUCGUCAAUUAAAAUAGCGCUGUAUUACAAAGCUUCAUUCAUAUGGUGAUACGAGGAUAUGGAAUAUACGUUAUUGAAAGGAUUCAAAGGUAAGUGGCUUUAGAUAGAGGAUAUAAUGGAGUGUUAUGGGAAAGAUUUAUCGUAGGUUUGUUUGCCGUUGCAAAGGGAAUCUGGAUUCAAAUGGAACUGAAAUGGUACUCAGGCAGCUUUAUCAUUGAAAAUGAUCAAAGCUGUGUAUACGAUCAAAGUAUUCAUUGUUCUUCGGGAUAAUAACGUUAGCCCGGACACGCUUUUAAAUUAUGCGUUAAUAUGUAGAGUACGUUUAUCUCACCGUGUCAUCGUUAUACCGUCAGUUUAUAUUAUUAUUCAAUAUAAUUAAAAAGAGAAGAAGUGUUUGGUUCAAUGUUCCAAAUUAU